UUCGUUGUGGUCUAGUGGUUAGGAUUUACGGCUCUCACUCGUAUUGCUCGAGUUCGAUUCCCGGCAACGGAG
rnacentral:tRNA from 1 species